rnacentral:rRNA from 1 species
AUUGAACGCUGGCGGAGUGCUUUACACAUGCAAGUCGAAUGGCAGCACGGGGGCAACCCUGGUGGCGAGUGGCGAACGGGUGAGUAAUGUAUCGGAACGUACCCCGUCGUGGGGGAUAACUCUCCGAAAAGAGAGCUAAUACCGCAUACGACCUGAGGGUGAAAGCGGGGGACCUGCAAGGGCCUCGCGCGAUGGGAGCGGCCGAUGUCGGAUUAGCUAGUUGGUGAGGUAAAGGCUCACCAAGGCGACGAUCCGUAGCGGGUCUGAGAGGACGACCCGCCACACUGGAACUGAGACACGGUCCAGACUCCUACGGGAGGCAGCAGUGGGGAAUUUUGGACAAUGGGGGAAACCCUGAUCCAGCCAUUCCGCGUGAGUGAAGAAGGCCUUCGGGUUGUAAAGCUCUUUCAGCAGGAACGAAACGGUAGACUUUAAUACAGUUUGCUAAUGACGGUACCUGCAGAAGAAGCACCGGCUAACUACGUGCCAGCAGCCGCGGUAAUACGUAGGGUGCGAGCGUUAAUCGGAAUUACUGGGCGUAAAGCGUGCGCAGGCGGCGACAUAAGACAGAUGUGAAAUCCCCGGGCUCAACCUGGGAACUGCGUUUGUGACUGUGUUGCUAGAGUGUAGCAGAGGGGGGGUGGAAUUCCACGUGUAGCAGUGAAAUGCGUAGAGAUGUGGAGGAACACCGAUGGCGAAGGCAGCCCCCUGGGUUAACACUGACGCUCAUGCACGAAAGCGUGGGGAGUAAACAGGAUUAGAUACCCUGGUAGUCCACGCCCUAAACGAUGCCAACUAGGUGUUGGGGGAGGAGACUUCCUUAGUACCGUAGCUAACGCGUGAAGUUGGCCGCCUGGGGAGUACGGUCGCAAGAUUAAAACUCAAAGGAAUUGACGGGGACCCGCACAAGCGGUGGAUGAUGUGGAUUAAUUCGAUGCAACGCGAAAAACCUUACCUACCCUUGACAUGUCCGGAAUCCUGAAGAGAUUUGGGAGUGCUCGAAAGAGAACCGGAACACAGGUGCUGCAUGGCUGUCGUCAGCUCGUGUCGUGAGAUGUUGGGUUAAGUCCCGCAACGAGCGCAACCCUUAUCAUUAGUUGCCAUCAUUUAGUUGGGCACUCUAAUGAGACUGCCGGUGACAAACCGGAGGAAGGUGGGGAUGACGUCAAGUCCUCAUGGCCCUUAUGGGUAGGGCUUCACACGUCAUACAAUGGUCGGUACAGAGGGUUGCCAACCCGCGAGGGGGAGCUAAUCUCACAAAGCCGAUCGUAGUCCGGAUCGCAGUCUGCAACUCGACUGCGUGAAGUCGGAAUCGCUAGUAAUCGUGGAUCAGCAUGUCACGGUGAAUACGUUCCCAGGUCU